UACGUAGGUGGCAAGCGUUGUCCGGAAUUAUUGGGCGUAAAGCGCGCGCAGGUGGUUCUUUAAGUCUGAUGUGAAAGCCCACGGCUCAACCGUGGAGGGUCAUUGGAAACUGGGGAACUUGAGUGCAGAAGAGGAAAGUGGAAUUCCACGUGUAGCGGUGAAAUGCGUAGAGAUGUGGAGGAACACCAGUGGCGAAGGCGGCGUCUCUGGGACGGUACUGACGCUGAGACGCGAAAGCGUGGGGAGCGAACAGG
rnacentral:rRNA from 1 species